GAAGGGGCUGGGGACCGGGAGCCGCGCUCGGGGUGAGCGGGCCGUCGCGUUCAUUUCCAUAAGAAAGCUGAAAUCGCGGUUGGAGGGAGGACUCCUCGCCCCUGCUGCCCUCCCCCUACACCCGGCUUUCAGCAGGAGCGGGCUCGGGAGCGCAGAGCCCUAACGUGCGCUCCGCUCUUUGAUGGUAUUGAUAAAACGUGGCUUCAAGUGUCGCCCCGACUGAGGCCGCUUUCCUGCCUGUGAGGAGUGGAAGCUCCGCGCGGGUGAGUCCAGAGCGCGGGGGAGCGGGCGGCGGCGCAGGGGCAGGCGAGAGGAGGGCAGGGCACCCUGGCCAAGGAAGUUCUCCGGGAGGGUUCCGAAAAGGGGAGCCAGGCUGAACCGAAGACCCCAGCACAGAAGAGUGUGGGGAGGGGGGCGGUGAUCAGCGAAGAGAGGUCGCAGAGCCCCUUGAGCCCAGGCGGCCGGCCGGUGGGGAAGUCUGGCCGGCCUCGCCGCCGUGGCCCUCCGCAAAGACCCGGGGAAACGUUCUCUCGCCGCCGCUGACCCUCUUCCUGCGAAGAAAUAAAGUGAACUUGCUCAGAUGCUCGAUGCCGCUAGCGGUUCAGUUCUUUCUACUUUCGCAUUGAGUUUCUUUUCGGCUUUUAGUGUGAACAGCAGCCAUGUGUCCUCAGUUCUGUAGUAUAUUAAAAACAAUCUCCUAGGUACUUUAUGAUCCCAUCUGGAGAAAUUAAAACCCAGAUCUGUAAUGUUUAUUCUUAGAUAGUUUACAAAAACCGGAAAAAAAUGUGUGAGACAUGUCUGCAAAUAUAACAAAAGUACUUUUCCUUCUGCUUGAAAAAGUUGCCUGCAAAUGGCUCCCCUUUACUGAUUCUGGACCACCUGUACUUGCCCGUGAAACCAAACCAGGUCGUGAAUACAGCACCAAUCAGAUCAAGCAAUCAAAUACCAAUUAUGCCUAUUAAUGACUUUAUUACUAAUGAUUGGAGUUAAGGACGCCAAACCUGCUCAAGGUAAUCAAGCUGUUUCAAAAUUCUGCUACCUAACAUUUUUACAGCACUCCACCCCAAUAAAGGAGAUAAGAAGAUAGAGUUGAUGUUUUCAAAGAGUUCUCCAGUACGUAUGCCAUAGUCGAUGCUGAAUUUCUUUCUUUCAGUAAAGUUUAUUGCUACUUCUGGUAAAUAACGGAGUCUGCGUUGCUGUCUGUGUCAAGUUAGGCAAAGCGUAAUUGAUGAUGGUGAUUACAAUAUAGUUGGUUUGGAUGCAGAAUUGGGGUAGGGAGGGUGUGUUCUCUCUCCAGUUACUCUGGUAAUGCUGAAAAUCCUGGUGGAUUUUAAGGAACAAGUGUUUUAAAUCUUCCGAUGGGGUAGUGGAUAUAGGGAUGCUGGAUGGUGAACUCAGGAGCAAAGGAGAAAUAAAAAACUUGGUCUAGGUUUGAAAAUUUCUUUUUGCUCAUGGGUUGAAAUGCUUUGGGCCUAUCAUAAGCUGAGUGACGGUUUGAAAGAAAAAGUUAGUGAGAAUAGUCUGGGGGUGUCGAGGCUGCUGUGGCUGGGCUUAUUUAUUACUGAAGAUGGCUUGCCGCUCCACCUUGCCUCUUUAUCGACACCCUUCUUAUCCCAAAUAGAAAUCCAUGCUCCGUUCUGGGAUGGAGGAGGAGGCAUGGAAGGAGGGAGUAAAUUGCUGUUGGGCAUCCAGAGCAAGAAGACAGGAAGGGGGCAGCUUAGGGGACUCUUAUCGACCACCAUGAAGCAGGCAGGCUGAGCAACUGGGCCGCUGCAGGAGCCAGUAAUUCACCUCAGUGUAGGUCUUCUGCUCACAGCUCCCUAGUCCAGCCCUUCCUGCUGGCCUGUCAGGACACUGGGUGAGUUGGAGCAAAGAAUUUCAAGUCUGUCCUGUUUGGGGCAUCUCCCUGGCACCUCAGCUCCUGGGUGGAAGCCCAGAGCAGCAGCACACAUCUGGUUUGGAUGUAUCUACCAGGCUGGUAUGGAACUGCCCAGGCUGCAUGGCAGAAACCUGAGCUGCUUGCGACACACAAACUCCUCUGCUGAGCAGUGUAAAGGUUUGGAUAGUUUCACAGUGCCGGAUGGCCCCUUCUCUUGAUGCGAAGCACAUGACCCCCCUCCCCAUUCUAUUUUGUUAGAGUUAAUUGCCCUGCAGCGAGGCCAUCUGACACCUCAGCCAAGGAAUACAGCAGAGAAGGAAUCCUCCACAGGGGGACCACAUCACCUGGGUCUGAGAGGACUGCUUCCUCAGGAAACCUUUCCUGGGAAUCUGGUGAGAGUUGGAGGCAAGUUUCCUGCACUUAGAACUUGUUCGGAAAUUGACAUCUAAAGAGGAGAGAAGCACUUUGUCACCCAGACUGGGCCCCUACGGCAUCAGAAAACCUUUCCACUCUUGGUGAACCCCUGAGACUGCCCCCCCACCCAAGAGGCCCCUUCACAUUGUUCGAUGUCAGUGUCCUGCUUGCUUUCCUUGGAAAGGUCAUGGGGACUCAGACACCCGCCAACCCCACGGGCUCCGGCUUCUCCAGCGCUCUCCCUUUCGCCCAGCAGGGAGGCUUGUGGAGCGCUUCUGGGUCUGCAUUGCCAGACCAGACUGCAGCCCAUGACCUUCCCGGGGCCAACCAAGGGCGAGGUAUGUUGCCCAACAAGACCACAGCCUCACCGGGCCGCCCAGGAACAACCACCGACAAAGGCUCUGCGGGCCCUGGCGCAGCCACCCACCCAUGCCCGCGGGGCCUGCAGGAGUGCUGGGGCCGAGGCUGCAAAGCUGGGUAGCCAGCCCCACACCAUUGACAGCCCAGGCACGUUUGCGGAACCCAGGGGAACAAUCAACGGACUCUAUGUCCCGGGAGCUGGGGAUACGCCUGUAAGAGUGUGAUGUUCCAGCCCAACUCAAUGGGCUUGCCUUCUCCUGAGAGGCAGUCCUGGAGGACAGAACUAAUGUGCCAUCUCCCAGGAAGCUCUUCAUCAGAAUAUCCCUUGUCCUUUUGUUUUUGUGUUAAAAAAGUGUUUUUACUUUCUCUGAGUGUCUGUCCUGUUAUUUUGUAACUACAACAAUGAAAUGUGGACGACAGUUGAUAUAAUUCUUGUGGUCCUUUGUAAACAUGCUUCAUAUUGGGGCCUCACACAGUCCCAGCCAUACCUCAGGUGUGUCCUGUGCUCUUGACAUUCACUCACGACUCAGGAGUCACCCAGAGAUUAACACUUCCUUCUGCCUUCCUCUGGACAGCUCUCUCCCAAACAAUGCUCCUUUCCCAACUCAUAGGGGAAGGGGAUUCAGUUAGAGAAAGCUUUCUGAAUUAAAAAAGAUGAGCCUCAGGUUCUCCAGGUAAUUGAUACUGGCUUACACUGGUGGCUAGGAAGCCAUGCCAGCAUCUCCCUAGGUAUAACUCCUCUCAGGA
rnacentral:lncRNA from 1 species